CGCACGGGUGCGUAACGCGUGGGAAUCUGCCCCUGGGUUCGGAAUAACAGCGAGAAAUUGCUGCUAAUACCGGAUGAUGACAAAGUCCAAAGAUUUAUCGCCCAGGGAUGAGCCCGCGUAGGAUUAGCUAGUUGUGAGGUAAGAGCUCACCAAGGCGACGAUCCUUAGCUGGUCUGAGAGGAUGAUCAGCCACACUGGGACUGAGACACGGCCCAGACUCCUACGGGAGGCAGCAGCC
rnacentral:rRNA from 1 species